rnacentral:rRNA from 1 species
UGGGGAAUUUUGGACAAUGGGGGCAACCCUGAUCCAGCAAUGCCGCGUGAGUGAAGAAGGCCCUCGGGUUGUAAAGCUCUUUUGUCAGGGAAGAAAAGGGAUUGGCUAAUAUCCGGUCCUCAUGACGGUACCUGAAGAAUAAGCACCGGCUAACUACGUGCCAGCAGCCGCGGUAAUACGUAGGGUGCAAGCGUUAAUCGGAAUUACUGGGCGUAAAGCGUGCGCAGGCGGUUUUGUAAGACUGUCGUGAAAUCCCCGGGCUUAACCUGGGAAUGGCGAUGGUGACUGCAAGGCUAGAGUUUGGCAGAGGGGGGUAGAAUUCCACGUGUAGCAGUGAAAUGCGUAGAUAUGUGGAGGAACACCGAUGGCGAAGGCAGCCCCCUGGGUCAAAACUGACGCU